GACGAACGCUGGCGGCAGGCUUAACACAUGCAAGUCGAGCGCCCCGCAAGGGGAGCGGCGGACGGGUGAGUAACGCGUGGGAAUCUGCCCUUUGGUGUGGGACGAACCACGGGAAACUGGUAGGCUAAUACCGCAUGAGCCCGAGAGGGGAAAGCCGCAAGGCGCCGAAGGAUGAGCCCGCGUCGGAUUAGCUAGUUGGUAGGGUAACGGCCUACCAAGGCGACGAUCCGUAGCUGGUCUGAGGAGGAUGAUCAGCCACACUGGGACCUGAGACACGGCCCAGGACUCCUACGGGAGGCAGCAGUGGGGAAUAUUGGACAAGUGGGGAACCCUGAUCCAGCCAUGCCGCGUGAGUGA
rnacentral:rRNA from 1 species